AGGCAUAGGAUGCGAUAUCCUAGCGAGCCCGUUCCUCUCUUCCCCCACCUGUGUUGUGUGUGUGUGCAUUCUUUUGAGCAUUGUUUGAGCAACCUUCCUUUUCCUAUCUUUUUGAGCGUGGAUCCCGUCGAGUACGACGGAUGCGUAGGGGUGCUAAUACCUUCCCUUCGCAUAACCGACUCCCGAUCCCAUCUCUCUUUGGUCGCGAGACCAUGUCUUUUCCAGGUUUACUUCGAGCGUUUCCUUUCCCUCUUU
rnacentral:lncRNA from 1 species